rnacentral:rRNA from 1 species
GAUGGGUAACUUGAUCAAGGUUAGUGGCGGAAGGGUCAGUAAUGCAUGGGCAACGUACCCCGGGCACGGGAAUAGCGGCGGACUUCGGUCCUUUGCGAAAGUGCCGGUAAUACCCGAUGACAUUCACGAGUCGCAUGGCUUGUGGAUCAAUGGGUGGGGACCUUCGGGCCUACCGGCCUGGGAGCGGCCCAUGUCCUAUCAGCUUGUUGGUGAGGUAAUGGCUCACCAAGGCGACGACGGGUAGCGGGUGUGAGAGCAUGACCCGCGACAUCGGGACUGAGACACUGCCCGGACACCUACGGGUGGCUGCAGCAACGAAUAUUGGACAAUGGACGCAAGUCUGAUCCAGCGACGCCGCGUGGAGGAGAAGCCCUUCGGGGUGUAAACUCCAAUAGCAGACUAGGAAGCAAUCCCGCUCAAUAGGCGGGUGCGUUGACCCGUCUGUGAAAGGGCCGGCUAACUCCGUGCCAGCAGCCGCGGUAAGACGGAGGGCCCUAGCGUUGUUCGGAAUCAUUGG